GCGGACGUGGCGAAAUUGGUAGACGCACCAGAUUUAGGUUCUGGCGCCGAGAGGCGUGAGAGUUCGAGUCUCUCCGUCCGCACCA
rnacentral:tRNA from 1 species